GCUAGUUGUGUCCGUGAAAUAAAGUGAUUCCUCUGAAAAAUCUAGAGGAGAGCAUUGGCAGACUGUUUCUUUUUCUCAGUUACCUGUGUUUCGUAUUGUGUUUUCAGUCCAAAAUGCAGCUGAAGUUCUCUAGGAAAGAGAAAGCAAAGAGUCACAAUUGAAGUAUGAUGCCAGUAUUUCUUCCGACCAUGUGUCUUGGGGACUUAACUCCAAAUGUGUCUCAACACAAUGGCAAAAAACAAUACUCUGCUUUUCUCCCCCCCCCCCUUUCUUUGGUAGUUAUUGACAGCAAAUUCUCAAACUGCCAUAACAAAUUCACUAAAAUCACUGUCAUUAUCUUCUCAACCAGAAAUGAGAAUAAAUAUAUCUGUGGGCAUCAAUACCCUUGUGUUUGGACUCAGCGAGGUACUGCAAUGUUGAGGAUAUGGAUAACUCCCACCUCUAAAGAAUUCAUUUGCAUUUCCCUGGAGCUGCCUAAUGUGGUGCAGCACAUUCAUUUGUACUCGUAG
rnacentral:lncRNA from 1 species